rnacentral:misc_RNA from 1 species
GAUGAAGAACGUAGCGAAUUGCGAUAUGUAAUGUGAAUUGCAGAAUUCAGUGAAUCAUCGAAUCUUUGAACGCAUAUUGCACCCUCUGGUAUUCUGGAGGGUAUACCUGUUUGAGUGUCAUUUAUCUCUUAACAAGCACAGUUGUUUAUGUGCAUGUUAGAUUUUGAGGGUUGCUGGAAUAGUUUUCAGCUCUCUUUAAAAUGAUUAGCAGAUUUGUGUUAUCUGGCUUCAGCUUGAUAAUAAAUUAUUUGCUGCUGCCAAAUCUUAUAAAUCAGCCAGUAAUUGUCUGGAAACCCAGACUGUCUCAAUGUUAGAGGCAUUCAUUUUGAUCUUGACCUCAAAUCAGGUAAGACUACCCGCUGAACUUAAGCAUAUCAAUAAGCGGAGGA